CCAAGGAGUCUAACAUGUGCGCGAGUCACCGGGUCUUGUUUAGGCUCGGAGGCGAAAUGAAAGUGAAGGCCGAUCUGGGCGUCGGCUGCGGUGUGAUCCGUGCGGUACCGUUCCCGUCGCGUCCUUGUGGCCGGCGGGUGCGGCGGCUGGCGGCGCAACACCGGCCCGUCCCGUCCGCCACGUCGGUGGGGCGGAGCGAGAGCGUACACGUUGGGACCCGAAAGAUGGUGAACUAUGCCUGGGCAGGACGAAGCCAGAGGAAACUCUGGUGGAGGUCCGCAGCGAUUCUGACGUGCAAAUCGAUCGUCAGACCUGGGUAUAGGGGCGAAAGACUAAUCGAACCAUCUAGUAGCUGGUUCCCUCCGAAGUUUCCCUCAGGAUAGCUGGCGCUCGAGGGAAGCAGUCUCAUCCGGUAAAGCGAAUGAUUAGAGGCCUUGGGGCCGAAACGACCUCAACCUAUUCUCAAACUUUCAAUGGGUGAGAAGUCCGGCUUGCUCGACUGAAGCCCGGACGUCCCAGGAUGCGAGUGCCCAGUGGGCCACUUUUGG
rnacentral:rRNA from 1 species